rnacentral:rRNA from 1 species
UACGUAGGGCGCAAGCGUUAUCCGGAAUUAUUGGGCGUAAAGAGCUCGUAGGCGGUUUGUCGCGUCUGGUGUGAAAACCCGAGGCUCAACCUCGGGCCUGCAGUGGGUACGGGCAGACUAGAGUGCGGUAGGGGAGAUUGGAAUUCCUGGUGUAGCGGUGGAAUGCGCAGAUAUCAGGAGGAACACCAGUGGCGAAGGCAGAUCUCUGGGCCGUAACUGGCGCUGAGGAGCGAAAGCAUGGGGAGCGAACAGG